rnacentral:rRNA from 1 species
UCUGACAACCCUAGAGAUAGGGCUUCUCCUUCGGGAGCAGAGUGACAGGUGGUGCAUGGUUGUCGUCAGCUCGUGUCGUGAGAUGUUGGGUUAAGUCCCGCAACGAGCGCAACCCUUGAUCUUAGUUGCCAUCAUUUAGUUGGGCACUCUAAGGUGACUGCCGGUGACAAACCGGAGGAAGGUGGGGAUGACGUCAAAUCAUCAUGCCCCUUAUGACCUGGGCUACACACGUGCUACAAUGGACGGUACAAAGAGCUGCAAGACCGCGAGGUGGAGCUAAUCUCAUAAAACCGUUCUCAGUUCGGAUUGUAGGCUGCAACUCGCCUACAUGAAGCUGGAAUCGCUAGUAAUCGCGGAUCAGCAUGCCGCGGUGAAUACGUUCCCGGGCCUUGUACACACCGCCCGUCACACCACGAGAGUUUGUAACACCCGAAGUCGGUGGGGUAACCUUUUUGGAGCCAGCCGCCUAAGGUGGGACAGA